UACGGAGGGGGCUAGCGUUGUUCGGAAUUACUGGGCGUAAAGCGCACGUAGGCGGCUUUGUAAGUUAGAGGUGAAAGCCCGGGGCUCAACUCCGGAAUUGCCUUUAAGACUGCAUCGCUAGAAUUGUGGAGAGGUAAGUGGAAUUCCGAGUGUAGAGGUGAAAUUCGUAGAUAUUCGGAAGAACACCAGUGGCGAAGGCGACUUACUGGACACAUAUUGACGCUGAGGUGCGAAAGCGUGGGGAGCAAAUGGG
rnacentral:rRNA from 1 species